UACAGAGGUCUCAAGCGUUGUUCGGAUUCAUUGGGCGUAAAGGGUGCGUAGGUGGCGCUGUAAGUCGGGUGUGAAAUUUCGGAGCUUAACUCCGAAACUGCAUUCGAUACUGCGGUGCUUGAGGACUGGAGAGGAGACUGGAAUUUAUGGUGUAGCAGUGAAAUGCGUAGAGAUCAUAAGGAAGACCAGUGGCGAAGGCGGGUCUCUGGACAGUUCCUGACACUGAGGCACGAAGGCCAGGGGAGCGAACGGG
rnacentral:rRNA from 1 species